CCUACGGGUCGCACCAGUGGGGAAUAUUGCACAAUGGGCGCAAGCCUGAUGCAGCCAUGCCGCGUGUAUGAAGAAGGCCUUCGGGUUGUAAAGUACUUUCAGCGAGGAGGAAGGCAUCAAGGUUAAUAACCUCGGUGAUUGACGUUACUCGCAGAAGAAGCACCGGCUAACUCCGUGCCAGCAGCCGCGGUAAUACGGAGGGUGCAAGCGUUAAUCGGAAUUACUGGGCGUAAAGCGCACGCAGGCGGUCUGUCAAGUCGGAUGUGAAAUCCCCGGGCUCAACCAGGGAACUGCAUUCGAAACUGGCAGGCUAGAGUCUUGUAGAGGGGGGUAGAAUUCCAGGUGUAGCGGUGAAAUGCGUAGAGAUCUGGAGGAAUACCGGUGGCGAGGGCGGCCCCCUGGACAAAGACUGACGCUCAGGUGCGAAAGCGUGGGGAGCAAACAGGAUUAGAUACCCUAGUAGUC
rnacentral:rRNA from 1 species